rnacentral:lncRNA from 1 species
AUUUGGAACGUAGGUUCAUCAUGCAAUAAAAUCAGAUAAAUAAGCUAAAUACGAUAGUUGAGUGACCGUGCUAGAACCACGGAACCCGAGAAUGUCUAACACCUUCUCUCGGGUUAAUAGAAUUCCUUACUCGGAUUUCUGGUUCGCGGAUUGUUAACAAAUCAUGUCUUCUUCGGUUCGGGAUUCAACCGGUGACUUGAGACACCAUUAAUCUCUCAAGUGGCGACACUGAAUCUUAUUAAUAAAUCCCGUUCGGAUUGUUCUUUAAUUGAAAAAACUCCUUUAUGCCCUCGUGGAUGUAGUAAAAAAAGAGGUGUGAUAGCUAUGUCGACUCUGCUGGGGACGAGAACCCAAAUGUUUUGUUCAUGGUUCAGAAUUCGAGCUUAGAAUAAUAGUUGUGUUUGGCUUUUUCUAAUUUUGUUACAUGAUCUGUGCCUAAUGUAUUGAUUAUUUUUACCGCUUUGAUAUUUCAUGAAUUGU